AACUGCGAUAAGUAAUGUGAAUUGCAGAAUUCAGUGAAUCAUCGAGUCUUUGAACGCACAUUGCGCCCCCUGGCAUUCCGGGGGGCAUGCCUGUCCGAGCGUCAUUGCUGCCCUUCAAGCCCGGCUUGUGUGUUGGGUCGUCGUCCCCUCCGGGUGACGGGCCCGAAAGGCAGCGGCGGCACCGCGUCCGGUCCUCGAGCGUAUGGGGCUUUGUCACCCGCUCGAUAAGGACCGGCCGGGCGCCAGCCGGCGUCUCCAACCUUUUUUUCUCAGGUUGACCUCGGAUCAGGUAGGGAUACCCGCUGAACUUAAGC
rnacentral:misc_RNA from 1 species